rnacentral:rRNA from 1 species
GAUGAACGCUGGCGGCGUGCCUAAUACAUGCAAGUCGAGCGAACGGACGAGAAGCUUGCUUCUCUGAUGUUAGCGGCGGACGGGUGAGUAACACGUGGAUAACCUACCUAUAAGACUGGGAUAACUUCGGGAAACCGGAGCUAAUACCGGAUAAUAUUUUGAACCGCAUGGUUCAAAAGUGAAAGACGGUCUUGCUGUCACUUAUAGAUGGAUCCGCGCUGCAUUAGCUAGUUGGUAAGGUAACGGCUUACCAAGGCAACGAUGCAUAGCCGACCUGAGAGGGUGAUCGGCCACACUGGAACUGAGACACGGUCCAGACUCCUACGGGAGGCAGCAGUAGGGAAUCCUCCGCAAUGGGCGAAAGCCUGACGGAGCAACGCCGCGUGAGUGAUGAAGGUCUUCGGAUCGUAAAACUCUGUUAUUAGGGAAGAACAUAUAUGUAAGUAACUGUGCACAUCUUGACGGUACCUAAUCAGAAAGCCACGGCUAACUACGUGCCAGCAGCCGCGGUAAUACGUAGGUGGCAAGCGUUAUCCGGAAUUAUUGGGCGUAAAGCGCGCGUAGGCGGUUUUUUAAGUCUGAUGUGAAAGCCCACGGCUCAACCGUGGAGGGUCAUUGGAAACUGGAAAACUUGAGUGCAGAAGAGGAAAGUGGAAUUCCAUGUGUAGCGGUGAAAUGCGCAGAGGUAUGGAGGAACACCAGUGGCGAAGGCGACUUUCUGGUCUGUAACUGACGCUGAUGUGCGAAAGCGUGGGGAUCAAACAGGAUUAGAUACCCUGGUAGUCCACGCCGUAAACGAUGAGUGCUAAGUGUUAGGGGGUUUCCGCCCCUUAGUGCUGCAGCUAACGCAUUAAGCACUCCGCCUGGGGAGUACGACCGCAAGGUUGAAACUCAAAGGAAUUGACGGGGACCCGCACAAGCGGUGGAGCAUGUGGUUUAAUUCGAAGCAACGCGAAGAACCUUACCAAAUCUUGACAUCCUUUGACAACUCUAGAGAUAGAGCUUUCCCCUUCGGGGGACAAAGUGACAGGUGGUGCAUGGUUGUCGUCAGCUCGUGUCGUGAGAUGUUGGGUUAAGUCCCGCAACGAGCGCAACCCUUAAGCUUAGUCGCCAUCAUUAAGUUGGGCACUCUAAGUUGACUGCCGGUGACAAACCGGAGGAAGGUGGGGAUGACGUCAAAUCAUCAUGCCCCUUAUGAUUUGGGCUACACACGUGCUACAAUGGACAAUACAAAGGGCAGCGAAACCGCGAGGUCAAGCAAAUCCCAUAAAGUUGUUCUCAGUUCGGAUUGUAGUCUGCAACUCGACUACAUGAAGCUGGAAUCGCUAGUAAUCGUAGAUCAGCAUGCUACGGUGAAUACGUUCCCGGGUCU